GUACUGGGGAGAGACGCGGCGCGGCCGCCUGGCGCCGCCGACAGUCGGGGACGGGGACGGGGACGGAGACAGGUGUGUUGAUGUGACCCACACCGUGGCAGUACUCUGAUUAAUGACAGUCAUGUGGUGAAAGGCAACAAGAAUGACCAUUACUGUAAGGCUGCGUGAAAAGAUAUCGCAGGCAUUCUACAACUACGGCCUCUUCUGUGCAUCUUACCCCAUCCCCAUCAUCUUUUUCACCGCUGGCUGUAUCUUAACAUGCUGUUAUCCGUUAUUGAAGCUACCUCUGCCAGGAACGGGGCCAGUGGAGUUUACAACACCUAUCAAGGAUUACAUCGCGCCCCCCAUCGAAGCAAACCGUGGACCCAGCGAGCAGAGUGAUAGACCAGAUUGG